UUGAUCCUGGCUCAGAUUGAACGCUGGCGGCAUGCCUUACACAUGCAAGUCGAACGGCAGCACGGGUGCUUGCACCUGGUGGCGAGUGGCGAACGGGUGAGUAAUACAUCGGAACAUGUCCUGUAGUGGGGGAUAGCCCGGCGAAAGCCGGAUUAAUACCGCAUACGAUCUACGGAUGAAAGCGGGGGACCUUCGGGCCUCGCGCUAUAGGGUUGGCCGAUGGCUGAUUAGCUAGUUGGUGGGGUAAAGGCCUACCAAGGCGACGAUCAGUAGCUGGUCUGAGAGGACGACCAGCCACACUGGGACUGAGACACGGCCCAGACUCCUACGGGAGGCAGCAGUGGGGAAUUUUGGACAAUGGGCGAAAGCCUGAUCCAGCAAUGCCGCGUGUGUGAAGAAGGCCUUCGGGUUGUAAAGCACUUUUGUCCGGAAAGAAAUCCCUGGCUCUAAUACAGUCGGGGGAUGACGGUACCGAAGA
rnacentral:rRNA from 1 species